ACUCCUGCGGGAGGCAGCAGUGGGGAAUAUUGCACAAUGGGCGCAAGCCUGAUGCAGCGACGCCGCGUGGGGGAUGAAGGCCUUCGGGUUGUAAACUCCUUUCGCUAGGGACGAAGCUUUUUUGUGACGGUACCUAGAUAAGAAGCACCGGCUAACUACGUGCCAGCAGCCGCGGUAAUACGUAGGGUGCGAGCGUUGUCCGGAAUUACUGGGCGUAAAGGGCUCGUAGGUGGUUUGUCGCGUCGUCUGUGAAAUUCUGGGGCUUAACUCCGGGCGUGCAGGCGAUACGGGCAUAACUUGAGUGCUGUAGGGGUAACUGGAAUUCCUGGUGUAGCGGUGAAAUGCGCAGAUAUCAGGAGGAACACCGAUGGCGAAGGCAGGUUACUGGGCAGUUACUGACGCUGAGGAGCGAAAGCAUGGGUAGCGAACAGGAUUAGAAACCCCUGUAGUCCCA
rnacentral:rRNA from 1 species